AUGAUGACGAUGAUGAUGAUGAACCGGCUGCAGCUGAUGACGACGAUGAUGAUGAUGAUGACGAUGAGGAAGAGGACGAUCAACUGUAUCACAAAGGAUCCCUCUGUUCAUACUGUGAAUACUGUGAGCACUGUGACACCUGCAACAAGUGCCCAUGUGCAGAGGGAGAUAAGUCUGCGCACUGUGACACCUGUCAGAUGUGCAACUUCUGCUACGUGUGUCCCAUUUGCAGCACACUUUGCCAACCAGGUGGUUUUCUGGACGAGCUGACUGGAUCAAUCUAUAA
rnacentral:lncRNA from 13 species